rnacentral:rRNA from 1 species
GGAAAAGAAACCAACAGGGAUUGCCUCAGUAACGGCGAGUGAAGCGGCAACAGCUCAAAUUUGAAAUCUGACUUACGUCCGAGUUGUAAUUUGCAGAGGAAGCCUCGGGGACGAUACCGGUCUAAGUUCCUUGGAACAGGACGUCAUAGAGGGUGAGAAUCCCGUAUGUGACCGGCUGUCAACUCCAUGUGAGGCCCCUUCGACGAGUCGAGUUGUUUGGGAAUGCAGCUCUAAAUGGGUGGUAAAUUUCAUCUAAAGCUAAAUACCGGCCAGAGACCGAUAGCGCACAAGUAGAGUGAUCGAAAGAUGAAAAGCACUUUGGAAAGAGAGUUAAACAGUACGUGAAAUUGUUGAAAGGGAAGCGCUUGUAACCAGACUUGCCUACGGGUGAUCAACCGUUCUUCGGGGCGGUGCACUUGCCCGUGGUCAGGCCAGCAUCGGUUUUGGCGGUUGGAUACAGGCUUCGGGAAUGUAGCUCCCUUCGGAGAGUGUUAUAGCCCGGGGUGCAAUGCGACCCGCCGGGACCGAGGACCGCGCUUCGGCUAGGAUGCUGGCGUAAUGGUCAUAAGCGACCCGUCUUGAAACACGGACCAAGGAGUCUAACAUCUAUGCGAGUGUUUGGGUGUUAAACCCAUACGCGUAAUGAAAGUGAACGGAGGUGGGAGCCUUCGGGUGCACCAUCGACCGAUCUUGAUGUCUUCGGAUGGAUUUGAGUAGGAGCAUAGCUGUUGGGACCCGAAAGGUAUGUAACAUUUUUCUUUUGUCAGUCGAGUUUAGGGGAGAGAACGUUGGCUAAUUUCAUUACAGAUGGUGAACUAUGCGUGAAUAGGGUGAAGCCAGAGGAAACUCUGGUGGAGGCUCGCAGCGGUUCUGACGUGCAAAUCGAUCGUCAAAUUUGCGUAUAGGGGCGAAAGACUAAUCGAACCAUCAGAG